UACGGAGGGUGCAAGCGUUAAUCGGAAUUACUGGGCGUAAAGCGCACGCAGGCGGUUAAUCAAGUUAGAUGUGAAAUCCCCGGGCUUAACCUGGGAAUUGCAUCUGAGACUAGAUAGCUCGAGUCAUGUAGAGGGGGGUGGAAUUCCAUGUGUAGCGGUGAAAUGCGUAGAGAUGUGGAGGAAGACCGGUGGCGAAGGCGGCCCCCUGGACAAAGACUGACGCUCAGGUGCGAAAGCGUGGGGAGCAAACAGG
rnacentral:rRNA from 1 species